CCUUAAUUCAAUCCAUUUGCUUCCAGUUGAUUUAUUCUACUUAACCGAGAUCCCGCAGCUGUGAAGUUAAAAAUGCGGAAAUUUCUCAAUCUCUUAAUAGUUUUCCUCUGUUGGGUCACAUUAUUUUCUAAAUUAUACAUCGUCGACUCUGCACCAGUGAUGUCAUCAUCACCAAACCAACAAGGCUGGAGUAAACAUCUAAUACUAUCAAGGGCGUGGGGUUAAGGGAGGGAGUGUAUAAAAAAAUGGAAUAUUUGUUAAUACAUUUCUUCAUCAUUUA